rnacentral:rRNA from 1 species
CAGUCGCCGCGGGAAUACGUAGGUGGCAAGCGUUGUCCGGAUUUAUUGGGCGUAAAGCGUGCGUAGGCGGCUUCUUAAGUCGGAUGUGAAAUCCCUGAGCUUAACUUAGGAAUUGCAUUCGAUACUGGGAAGCUAGAGUAUGGGAGAGGAUGGUAGAAUUCCAGGUGUAGCGGUGAAAUGCGUAGAGAUCUGGAGGAAUACCGAUGGCGAAGGCAGCCAUCUGGCCUAAUACUGACGCUGAGGUACGAAAGCAUGGGGAGCAAACAGGAUUAGAUACCCCGGUAGUCCCUGUCUCUUAUAC